GCCCCCGUUGUCUAAUGGCUAUGACGUCAGACUUCUACCUAUCUAGGCUAGAUUCUGAUCUGGAGGUUGCGGGUUCGAGUCCCGCCGGGGGUU